rnacentral:rRNA from 1 species
AACGUAGGGGGCCAGCGUUGCUCGGAAUUACUGGGCGUAAAGGGUCCGUAGGCGGUGUGACAAGUCGGAAGUGAAAUCUCUGGGCUUAACUCAGAGGCUGCUUCCGAAACUGCUGUGCUAGAGGAUGAGAGAGGCGAGUGGAAUUGCGGGUGUAGCGGUGAAAUGCGUAGAUAUCCGCAGGAACAUCCGAGGCGAAAGCGGCUCGCUGGAUCAUUUCUGACGCUGAGGGACGAAAGCUAGGGGAGCAAACAGG